UCUAUCUUCUGCUGUUCUUUUUCUUGUUAGACCUGCGAAGAAACUGAGUUUUCAGAGAAUUCUAUUGUUGCUGUAAAACAUAAUUUGCUCUGCUGCAGAGCAAGCCAGGCAGAGUGAGCUGUGACUCUUUUCCUUCCUUGCUGGCUGCCUAUCUGGCAUCACUUUCCCUCAUAAGCUGGGCUCUUAAGUGGAGACAGUGCAUCCAAGGACUGCAGGAGGGAGCGAGGGCAGAGGUUCCUGUGCUGACCACUGGCUGCCUGGAUGAUGCUGUUACAGCUGUUUCCCACCUCUGUGCCUCAGUUUCCCCUUCUUCAAGUUGGAGGCUGGGAUUCAGUCCUGCCCUGCAGAAGCUUUGAGCUGUGCUUGCACCUUGCUAAAGCCACACCAGCUCCGGUUCCCAGAGGAUGAGUCACGCGCUGACGUCCAGCAUCCUGCCUCUCACCCCGAGCCCAGGGCAGGACGGAGGAAGGGCGAGAGAACCUUCAGAGUUCCUUCUGUAACCUCACCUCGGUGUGCUGGCAGUGGCCGGGGGUGUGGGGAUGCCGUGCUGAGCACCAUGGAGGGGGAAGUGCAGCCCAUCCCUCCCCCAACACCUUCCCAAUGGGAUCACCCCUCUAAAUAAUAAACAUGAGCAAGCAGGGGUUUUUUGCCCUUAA